rnacentral:rRNA from 1 species
CUACGGGCGGCUGCAGUGGGGAAUAUUGCACAAUGGAGGAAACUCUGAUGCAGCAACGCCGCGUGGAGGAUGACACUUUUCGGAGCGUAAACUCCUUUUAUAUAGGAAGAAGAUGACGGUACUAUAUGAAUAAGCGCCGGCUAACUCCGUGCCAGCAGCCGCGGUAAUACGGAGGGCGCAAGCGUUACUCGGAAUCACUGGGCGUAAAGAGCGUGUAGGCGGAUUAAAAAGUCAGAAGUGAAACCCUAUAGCUUAACUAUAGAACUGCUUCUGAAACUCUUAAUCUAGAAUAUGGGAGAGGUAGAUGGAAUUUCUGGUGUAGGGGUAUAAUCCGUAGAGAUCAGAAGGAAUACCGAUUGCGAAGGCGAUCUACUAGAACAUUAUUGACGCUGAGACGCGAAAGCGUGGGGAGCAAACAGGAUUAGAUACCCGAGUAGUC